CUGAAGAGACAUGUAUUGUCGAAAUGCGCAUCUGGUGCAGAAAAAAUGGUACCAUUAUUGUGACAGUUGAUGAAAAUGAACAUGAUGGAGAUAAGGGUUGAUUUGGUAUAAAGCUUGUUGCACUGGUACACACGAAUCCAGUCCCGAGGUUAGGGGAUUGUUGGCGUGCCCUUAAAAAAGUUAAACCCCGCCACUAUCUGUAUGUGUCAGUUUUAAGUUACAAGACGGUAAUGCAGUGUUUGUCGUUUGUUUCUAUAUACUAUAUUGGUUUCUUUAUUAUUUAUUUUGUACAUUAAUCUGGCCGUUAGAUUUUUUGUUUGUUUUACAUUAUUCGUUUCGGGAAUUGAAGACUUUGCAGUAUGACUUUUACUCAUUGUUGAAACCCUUACGGGACCUAUAAUUGUUUUAUGUCUCAUUUGGUCUCAUUUAGAGGGUUGUCUCAUUUGCAAUCAUAUCACAUCUUCUUUUUUUAUAUGGAAUACUUUUGAAGUCUGUCGUACGUGGGAAAAAAGGGGGGAUAUAGUUACAAAACCUAUAAUAUAAUAGAUAUUAACCAGAGUUAAAUACAAAACAAAAGAUAAUACUAUGGUAGCAGUAAUAAUUGUGAAAAAAAACCAAAAAGCAACGAGUAGCCUAUAAAAAACCUGAAGUAUCCGCAAAUUCAAUUUGAGGGCAUAUUUGACUGUAGUGUUCUAUGGCUUUGAUUUGAUACCUCACCCAAUAUGAUAGUUUAAAAAAUAAUUUUAAAGUAUUGUCCUGCAUGACACUUGAUUUUUACCUGAAAUUGAUAUUUUUCAUAAGGUUUAGGUGCUCUUAACAUUUUAUAGGUUGAAAACUUGAUUUUUGAAGUUUUGUUUAUCUAACGUCAUUUUAGGAUUUUUUUUGAUAAAAAAAUCUCAAUGAUUAAGGUUUAUGUAUAAUAACAAACAUUACUAAAGCCAAAACAGUAUCAUUUGUAUUUAGGUAGAGUUUAGAAAUAGAAAAAAAUGUCAAAAUUGAAACCCACCCAAAUUUUCACAAAUUUUUACAUAUGACCUUUGACCUCAAUUUAAAAAAAAUGUGACCAUAUCAAGUCCUGACGACAGGCAUAUUAUUAUAGUACACGAUUUCCUCUUUCCAAUGAUAUAUUAUGUAGGUGUGUGUUC
rnacentral:lncRNA from 1 species